GUGCUUGCUUCAGCAACACAUACACUAAAAUUGGAAUGAUACGAGAAAAUUAGCAUGGCCUGUAGGCAAGGAUGGCAUGCAAAUUCAGGAAGUGUUCCAUAUUUUU